rnacentral:rRNA from 1 species
AACGAACGCUGGCGGCAGGCCUAACACAUGCAAGUCGAGCGAGGACUUCGGUUCUAGCGGCGGACGGGUGCGUAACGCGUGGGAAUGUGCCCUUCUCUACGGAAUAGCCCUGGGAAACUGGGAGUAAUACCGUAUACGCCCUAUUGGGGAAAGAUUUAUCGGAGAAGGAUCAGCCCGCGUUGGAUUAGGUAGUUGGUGGGGUAAUGGCCUACCAAGCCGACGAUCCAUAGCUGGUUUGAGAGGAUGAUCAGCCACACUGGGACUGAGACACGGCCCAGACUCCUACGGGAGGCAGCAGUGGGGAAUCUUAGACAAUGGGGGCAACCCUGAUCGAGCCAUGCCGCGUGAGUGAUGAAGGCCUUAGGGUUGUAAAGCUCUUUCAGCUGGGAAGAUAAUGACGGUACCAGCAGAAGAAGCCCCGGCUAACUCCGUG